UACCAGCACCCCGAGUGGUCGGGGCGUUUAUUGGGCCUAAAGCAUCCGUAGCCGGUUCUACAAGUCUUCCGUUAAAUCCACCUGCUUAACAGAUGGGCUGCGGAAGAUACUAUAGAGCUAGGAGGCGGGAGAGGCAAGCGGUACUCGAUGGGUAGGGGUAAAAUCCGUUGAUCCAUUGAAGACCACCAGUGGCGAAGGCGGCUUGCCAGAAUGCGCUCGACGGUGAGGGAUGAAAGCUGGGGGAGCAAACCGG
rnacentral:rRNA from 1 species